CGGAAUCCAUAUUGACUUUUGGCAAGAAGUUUAUAUUUUUCAAUAUGCCACUCCAGACGGUUCUUUACGAGAUGCUCUGCAAUCUUUAAUAACACUGAUGAUAAGACUAUGGGGCGAUAGGAAGAAGCUGAAGACGGAGGUUUUCCAGGUUUUAAAAUGGGAAUAACCUUUUGUGUUUUCCAUGAAUUUGGAAUAUUACCCGUUAUUAACAUUAAAUUAACCAAAUCCAAAUAAUAAUUUAAAAUUUCAUCUGAAGCGUGUUUAAAAAAAGAGUAUGGGAUACCAUCGAUGCCCGGAGCCGAGUCUUUUAAAUUUGUCACAACACCUUUUAACUCUUGAAGAGUAAAAAGCGAGUUAAGAUCUUUAAGGCUAACUUCACCUAAAGGUGAUGGACGGAGAAAUGAUACAGAAGGAGGUGCUAAUCUAUUUAAAAAAUCGUUGGCUAAAGAGUCUGGCAUAGGAUGAAAAGGAGGGGAGAGACAGAAGAAUAGGGAAGUGAUCACUACCGUGACUAGAUGAUAGAACUGACCAGUGUAAAAGAGAAGAUAAAUUUGAAGUACAAAUAGACAAAUCAGGGGCACUAUAACCCUCAUUAGGUGCAGUUUGCCGUGUUGGUAACCCUGUGUUGAGAAUACAUAACUUAUGGAAAUCUAAUAAAUCUAGUACUUCAAAACCCCA